GGCUCUUUGCUCACAUAAAUAUAAAGAGUCGAGCCUGCCCAGUGAAUUUUUAACGGCCGCGGUACUCUGACCGUGCAAAGGUAGCGUAAUCAUUUGCCUUAUAAUUGAAGGCUAGUAUGAAUGGUUUGACGAGAGCAAUACUGUCUCCUUUUUAUUUUCAAAAACUUAACUUUUAGGUGAAGAGGCCUAAAUUUUAUUGAAGGACAAGAAGACCCUGUCGAGCUUAAAAGACAUAUAGGAGUCUAAUAUAUUUUUAAACAAAUUUUCUGUUAAGCUUUUUAGUUGGGGCGACUAAGGAACAAAAAAAGCUUCUUUCUAAUAUAUAAACAAUCAUGUUUGGAUCCGAUAAUAGCGAUCAAAGAAAUUAGUUACCGCAGGGAUAACAGCAUAAUCUCUCUUAAGAGACCUAAUCGAAAGAGGGGGUUGUGACCUCGAUGUUGGACUAGAAUAUCCUAAAGAUGCAGAAGUCUUUAAGGGUCGGUCUGUUCGACCGUUAAAAUUCU
rnacentral:rRNA from 2 species